CCCGGGCCUUGUACACACCGCCCGUCACACCAUGGGAGUUGGUUUUACCCGAAGACGGUGUGCUAACCGCAAGGAGGCAGCCGGCCACGGUAAGGUCAGCGACUGGGGUG
rnacentral:rRNA from 1 species